rnacentral:rRNA from 1 species
UACAGGGGGUGCAAACGUUGCUCGGAAUCAUUGGGCGUAAAGCGCACGUAGGCGGUCUGUUAUGUCGGAUGUGAAAGCCCUUGGCUCAACUGAGGAAGUGCAUCCGAAACUGGCAGGCUAGAGUACGAAAGAGGAUCGCGGAAUUCCAGGUGUAGCGGUGAAAUGCGUAGAUAUCUGGAGGAACACCGGUGGCGAAGGCGGCAUCCUGGACCAACACUGACACUGAGGAGCGAAAGCCAGGGGAGCAAACGGG